GACGUAGGGCGCGAGCGUUGUCCGGAUUUAUUGGGCGUAAAGAGCUCGUAGGCGGCUUGUCGCGUUCGACUGUGAAAACCCGCGGCUCAACUGCGGGCCUGCAGCCGAUACGGGCGAGGCGUAGAGUUCGGUAGGGGAGACUGGAAUUCCUGGAUGUAGCGGUGAAAUGCGCAGACUAUCAGGAAGAACACCUAUGGCGAAGGCAGCUCUCGUGGGACGGUAACUGACGCUGAGGCGCGAAAGCCCAGGGGAGCAAACAGG
rnacentral:rRNA from 1 species